CCUACGGGCGGCAGCAGUGGGGAAUAUUGGACAAUGGGGGCAACCCUGAUCCAGCCAUGCCGCGUGUGUGAAGAAGGCCCUCGGGUUGUAAAGCACUUUCAGUGAGGAAGAACGCCUGGUGGUUAAUACCCAUCAGGAAAGACAUCACUCACAGAAGAAGCACCGGCUAACUCCGUGCCAGCAGCCGCGGUAAUACGGAGGGUGCGAGCGUUAAUCGGAAUUACUGGGCGUAAAGCGCGCGUAGGUGGCUUGAUAAGCCGGUUGUGAAAGCCCCGGGCUCAACCUGGGAACGGCAUCCGGUACUGUCAAGCUAGAGUGCAGGAGAGGAAGGUAGAAUUCCCGGUGUAGCGGUGAAAUGCGUAGAGAUCGGGAGGAAUACCAGUGGCGAAGGCGGCCUUCUGGACUGACACUGACACUGAGGUGCGAAAGCGUGGGUAGCAAACAGGAUUAGAUACCCUUGUAGUC
rnacentral:rRNA from 1 species